AGUGAACGCUGGCGGUAGGCCUAACACAUGCAAGUCGAACGGCAGCACAGUAAGAGCUUGCUCUUACGGGUGGCGAGUGGCGGACGGGUGAGGAAUACAUCGGAAUCUACUUUUUCGUGGGGGAUAACGUAGGGAAACUUACGCUAAUACCGCAUACGACCUACGGGUGAAAGCAGGGGAUCUUCGGACCUUGCGCGAUUGAAUUAGCCGAUGUCGGAUUAGCUAGUUGGCGGGGUAAAGGCCCACCAAGGCGACGAUCCGUAGCUGGUCUGAGAGGAUGAUCGGCCACACUGGAACUGAGACACGGUCCAGACUCCUACGGGAGGCAGCAGUGGGGAAUAUUAGGCAAUGGGCGCAAGCCUGACCCAGCCAUACCGCGUGGGUGAAGAAGGCCUUCGGGUUGUAAAGCCCUUUUGUUGGGAAAGAAAAGCAGCAGGUUAAGACCCCGCUGUUCUGACGGUACCCAAAGAAUAAGCACCGGCUAACUUCGUG
rnacentral:rRNA from 1 species